rnacentral:misc_RNA from 1 species
AAAUAUGUAUAAAUAUCAUAAAAUAUGUUUUUAAGAUCCAGUUGUUUUUUUAAUAAAUCUAUAUAGAUAACAAUACCGUCAAUAUCUCCCCAAAAAAGUAAAAUCACGACCACGAUUUAAUAUCUUUAAUCGCAAUCACGACGCUGACAUUGAUUAGUCAGAAUACUAACGAUAUGUGUGGUUCGUUAUUUUAUAAUUCUAUGUUUCGGCAUGGAUAUCGGCUGUCCGCAGUCUGCCAGUCAUCAGGUCUUUCAGCUCGCGCAGUUAAGUUCGAGAACUGGCAUACUCGACUGCAUCAGGACCAGAAUUUUCGUCGAAAUUUUGCGUCACGUCAGUGGUCCAAUAACACAAAGCAGCAGCUAGAUAUGGUGUCAGAUAACCGGAGUUUCGGCGGGCAGCAAAAGGUCUACGAACAUUACAGUGCUGUGUUAAAUUGCCGCAUGAGAUUUUCUGUGUACGUACCAGACAAUUUGGAAAGACCAGCGCCAAUUUUAUAUCAUUUGAGUGGUAUGUUAUGUUCUGAACAAAGUUUUAUACAAAAGACAGGGUUUCAACGAUGGGCAUCACAUUAUGGAAUUAUCGUAGUAUCACCAGACAUUUGCCCAAGAGUUACUUUUGGUGUUGAAAAGAAUGAAAUUGAAGCUAAAGGCUUGUCAUAUUAUGUAAACGCUAUAAAAAAGCCUUGGAACAGGAAUUACCAAAUGUAUUCAUAUGUGAAUGAAGAGCUACCUAGUAUUAUUCAGGAGAAUUUUAAUGUCAACAAAGACAGGCAAUCAAUCAUGGGUCAUAGUAUGGGAGGUCAUGGUGCAUUAAUAAGUGCAUUAAAAAAUCCCGGAAAGUAUCGUUCAGUAUCAGCUUUUGCUCCAGUUUGUAAUCCAUCUCAGUCGCCUGAUGAACGAUACAUAUUAAAGUGUUAUUUUGGAGAUGAUUCAAAAACAAUGGAGGAGUGGGAUGCUACUUGUUUAAUAACUAAUUAUAAAGGACCAGCGUUAAAUAUCCUCAUACAUCAAGGUUGGCCUGGCCAGGGCCGUUGGGCCGGGAUUCCUGGCUAGGCCCUUGUCAUAUUAUAGUUCCUGGGCUCUUGUACUGUGUUACCCCAAAAUACAGUAUAAAAUUAUUGGGCCCUAGAAAAUAAUUCCUGCCUGGACCCUCAGGUACCCAGGCCGACCCUGAUUAUUUAAAUGACUUCAAUGUUAUAUAGGGAAAAAAUGAUCAAUACGAAGAAGAUUUAAGAUUGGAAAAUUUUGCAAGUGCUUGUGAAAAGGCAGAGAUUACAGUUUCAAUAAAUUUGGAAGAAGGAUAUGACCAUGGUUUUUAUUUCAUUUCAAGUUUUAUG